rnacentral:rRNA from 1 species
GAUGAACGCUAGCGGCAGGCUUAACACAUGCAAGUCGCGCGGCAGCACGGGGGUUGCUUGCAAUCCCUGAUGGCGACCGGCGCACGGGUGAGUAACGCGUAUCCAACCUGCCCUUCACCACGGGAUAAGCCGGCGAAAGUCGGACUAAUACCGUAAGUUGUCCAUUGACGGCAUCCGAACAUGACGAAAGGCUUAGCGGUGAGGGGGGGGGAUGUGUCCGUUUAGCUUGACGGCGGGGUGACGGCCCACGGUGGCAACGAGCGGGAGGGGUUGGGAGAGGAACGUCCCCCAGACUGGAACUGAGACACGGUCCAGAGUCAUACGGGAGGGAGCAGUGAGGAAUAUUGGGCAAGGGGCGUAAGCCUGAGCCAGCCAAGUAGCGUGCAGGAUGACGGCCCUAGGGGUUGUAAACUGCUUUUAUGCUGGGAUAAAGGGAUCCACGUGUGGGUUUUUGAAGGUACCGCAUGAAUAAGGACCGGCUAAUUACGUG